rnacentral:rRNA from 1 species
AGAGUUUGAUCAUGGCUCAGGAUAAACGCUGGCGGCAUGCCUAAUACAUGCAAGUCGAACGAGAUCUUCGGAUCUAGUGGCGAACGGGUGAGGAACACGUAAGAAACCUGCCCUUAAGACGAGGAUAACUAUUGGAAACGAUAGCUAAUACUGGAUAGGAUAUAAGGCCGCAUGGUCUAAUAUUUAAAGGAGCCUUCAAGCUCCGCUUAGGGAUGGUCUUGCGCAGCAUUAGCUAGUUGGUAGGGUAACGGCCUACCAAGGCGACGAUGCUUAGCUGGUCUGAGAGGAUGAACAGCCACACUGGGACUGAGACACGGCCCAGACUCCUACGGGAGGCAGCAGUAGGGAAUUUUCGGCAAUGGGCGAAAGCCUGACCGAGCAAUGCCGCGUGAAUGAUGAAGGCCUUCGGGUCGUAAAAUUCUGUUGUUAAGGAAGAACAAGUAGACCAGGAAAUGGGUUUACUCUGACGGUACUUAACCAGAAAGCUCCGGCUAACUACGUGCCAGCAGCCGCGGUAAUACGUAGGGAGCGAGCGUUAUCCGGAAUUAUUGGGCGUAAAGAGUGCGUAGGCGUUCUGUUAAGUCAAAUCUGAAAGCCCCCAGCUUAACUGGGGAGGGUGAUUUGAAACUGGCAGAAUUGAGUAUGGCAGAGGUAAGUGGAAUUCAAUGUGUAGCGGUGGAAUGNGUAGAUAUAUUGAGGAACACCAGUGGCGAAGNNGGCUUACUGGNCCAGAACUGACGCUGAGGCACGAAAGCGUGGGGAGNAAACAGGAUUAGAUACCCUGGUAGUCCACGCCGUAAACGAUGAGA